UUAGAAGACGACUAUUUUGAGAGGCCUCCUGGAGGCACUAAUUAAAGUACUUUUCCUCAGAGCAUGUGUUCAUGUUGAAGCCUGAAAGGAAUCUAAAAAGCGUACCAACCCAGUUUCCGGGGGACUGAGAUUGCGGCGGACAACCAGGAAGCGGCCGGGCUGGGAGCUGUCUCGGGUUCUCCGCUCUGGUCUCGAGGGCAGGUCCCAGGGUUCCUACACCGUGUUCCCCAGCUCCGCGCUAUCCCUGCCCCGACCUAGGCUCCGGCCUGGCCUGUCGCUCCGGAGCCGCCAUGUCGUCCGACUUCGAAGGCUUCGAGCAGGACUUCGCGGUGCUCACUGCAGAGCUCACAAGCAAGAUUGCCAGGGUCCCCCGACUGCCCCCUGAUGAGAAGAAACAGAUGGUUGCAAAUGUGGAGAAACAGCUUGAAGAAGCAAAAGAACUGCUUGAGCAGAUGGAUUUGGAAGUCCGAGAGAUACCACCCCAAAGUCGAGGAAUGUACAGCAACAGAAUGAGAAGCUACAAGCAAGAAAUGGGAAAACUUGAAACAGAUUUUAAAAGGUCACGGAUCGCCUACAGUGACGAAGUGCGCAAUGAGCUCCUAGGGGAUGACGGGAAUUCCUCGGAGAGCCAGUUGAUAAAAUUACGUGAAGAGAGGGCACAUCUGCUCGAUAACACAGAGAGGCUGGAAAGGUCAUCUCGGAGACUAGAGGCUGGGUACCAAAUAGCAGUGGAAACCGAGCAAAUUGGCCAAGAGAUGUUGGAAAACCUCAGUCACGACAGAGAAAAGAUACAGAGAGCACGUGAAAGACUUCGAGAAACAGACGCUAACUUGGGGAAAAGCUCCAGGGUCCUGACGGGGAUGUUGCGAAGCAAAUACCAACUAUUUAAUAGGACUAGGAGUCGAAAACCCAAAAAACUCAGAUUUAAGAGACAAAGAGUGAAAGAUACGACUUGAUUUUGCAACAUAUUGGUAUGAAGAUGAAAAAUGAUUUCCCUCCCCCUCCUUAAGAACCCGUGCUAUGCCUGGUGGACUGUGGGCAGGAAAAUCAGAAUUAACUACAGCUUUUCCUUUUGAAAUGGAAAAGAGAAAUAAAAACAUGGCACCAGGUUUUGGCUCCGACUGGAUUUCCAUGGAGCAUGUCAUCUAGGAAGGAUGAUGAGAAUUCUGGAAGCAAAAUAUCCUUGUUGUGUUCAGCACUGGGGAUGCUGUAAAAACUGAAUGAAUGCGGAGAAUCUUUUUACCAAAGGAGUGGUGUGAAGGCUAUAUUCAUUCUGCAGAAACCGUACUUUGAAUUUUGAGUUUUGAUCUUUUCCUGGACUAGUGAUGUGCGUGCAAUACUCCCCUAGGAUGCUGGGCAGUAAGCUGCAUCUUCGAAUCAAGUCCAAGAUCACAAGGGUAAACAACCGACACCCUGCAGUAUGCUGUGUUGCCAGGGUGUUUUGGGAUAUUGUUUUGUGUCUUCUCAUCCUGCCAUGGCUGCAGAGUGUCCAUCCGUACCUCUUCUUUAAGAUAGUUGCUCAACUGCAGGCUAACGUGCUCUGA